rnacentral:rRNA from 1 species
AUGACCAAGUGCCGAACGGACGACACCUCCGCCGGGAUCUGGAUACCCAUGUUGGCUCCCACAUGCUCCUCGAUGAUCUCAUCAGAUGAACCACGCUGUCGAGGACCUAAUCAAUCCCGUACUCAAUUCCCUUUGUCAAUCGGUAUGUUACUUGCCCGAGACUCGAUCGUCGGUAUCCCAAUAUCUUGUUCAGUCUCGUUACCGGCAAGUCACUUUACUCGUACCGUAAUGCAUGAUCCCGGACUAUGUGACUGGAAACAUCUAAGUGAGCGGCUUAAAUAUCAUGAGAAUAGUAUCGAGCACCUCACUAAUAUGAACACGUGGAAUGAACUAAGAGUGAGACUACGUAACAAUCAAACUAUUGAUAAGGAUGUGCAGCUUGAAAUUGCAAAAGAAAAAGAGAGGUGGAGGCAAGUGUUAGUAAGAAUUAUUGCUGCCGUGAAAUUUCUUGCUAAACAUAAUCUGGCUUUUCGAGGAACAAAUGAGAAACUUUAUCAAGAUGAUAAUGGUAAUUUCUUGGGGGUAGUUGAAAUGAUUGCAGAAUUUGAUCCCAUAAUGCAAGACCAUAUUAGGCGCAUCCAAAAUAGUGAAAUUCAUCAUCAUUAUCUUGGACAUAAGAUCCAAAAUGAGUUAAUUGCUCUUCUUGCUGAUAGUGUUAAGAGUUCUAUCUUGAGAAUAAUUAAGGAUGCUAAAUAUUUCUCUGUAAUUGACUGUACCCCGGAUGUAAGCCAUGAAGAACAAAUGACUUUAAUUGUGAGGUGUGUUAACAUGUCAAGUACCAUUACAAAAGUAGAGGAAUUUUUUCUAGAGUUCUUGAAGGUUAAUGAUACAUCUGGACUAGGACUUUUCAAGGAGCUAAUAGAUGCACUUAAAUCUCUUGAUUUGAAUGUUAAUGAUGUUAGAGGUCAAGGAUGGAAAUUAUUGCGUGAUAAUGUUUCAGACUUGAAUGUGAAAUAUUUGUCUACUACGCGUUGGGAGAGUCGAAUAAAAAGUGUUAAAGCAAUUAGAUUCCAAGCUCCUCAGUUGCGUUCAACUUUAUUAGAAUUGGAAAGAACUUCUGAUGAUGACCCCAAAACUAAGAAACCUACAUUUCCUACAAAACGUCGUGUUACCAGGAAAAGACAUUUUGAUGAAUUGAAUGAAAAUGAUCAAAAUGAUGAAGAAGUGCAAGCAGUCGAGGAGUCAUUUAGAGUAAAUUAUUUUCUUGUCAUGAUAGAUGUGGCAAUUGGUUCACUGACCAAAAGAUUUGAUGAGCUAAAGUCAUUUGGAAGUAUGUUUGGUUUUCUGUUCAACUCGAAAGAAUUGAACAACUUUGCAAAUACUUUUACUCAUAACAACUCAUCAGAUGUUGAUUCAAAUGAUUUGUUUUCCGAAUUGAAAGUUCUGCAAAUGAUUUUGCCAAAUAACCUCGUGUCAGCUGAUGAGAUUUUUGAGUUUGUUCGAGCUGCAGAUUGUUACCCAAAUGCUUCAAUUGCUUACCGAAUCCUCCUGACCAUACCUGUGACUGUAGCAUCGGCUGAGAGAAGCUUUUCCAAGUUAAAAUUACUGAAAAAUUAUUUGAGGUCAACUAUGUCCCAAGAAAGAUUGAAUGGUCUGGCCAUGUGUUGUAUUGAGAAAAGCAUGUUGGAUAAUAUCAAUCUUGAUACAGUAAUUGAUGAUUUUGCUUCAACGAAUGCUCGAAGAAGUCAUUUCCUAUGA